CCUACGGGAGGCAGCAGUGAGGAAUAUUGGUCAAUGGACGAGAGUCUGAACCAGCCAAGUAGCGUGAAGGAUGACUGCCCUAUGGGUUGUAAACUUCUUUUAUGUGGGAAUAAAACGUUCCACGUGUGGGAUUUUGUAUGUACCAUAUGAGUAAGGAUCGGCUAACUCCGUUCCAGCAGCCGCGGUAAUACGGAGGAUCCGAGCGUUCUCCGGAUUUAUUGGGUUUAAAGGGAGCGUAGGUGGAUUGUUAAGUCAGUUGUGAAAGUUUGCGGCUCAACCGUAAAAUUGCAGUUGAAACUGGCAGUCUUGAGUACAGUAGAGGUGGGCGGAAUUCGUGGUGUAGCGGUGAAAUGCUUAGAGAUCACGAAGAACUCCGAUUGCGAAGGCAGUUCACUGGACUGCAACUGACACUGAGGUUCGAAAGUGUGGGUAUCAAACAGGAUUAGAUACCCCAGUAGUC
rnacentral:rRNA from 1 species